UACAGAGGGGGCAAGCGUUAUUCGGAAUUAUUGGGCGUAAAGGGCGCGUAGGCGGCACUGCAAGUCAGUUGUGAAAUCUCCGGGCUUAACCCGGAAAGGUCAACUGAUACUGCAGGGCUAGAGUGCAGAAGGGGCAACUGGAAUUCUCGGUGUAGCGGUGAAAUGCGUAGAUAUCGAGAGGAACACCUGCGGCGAAGGCGGGUUGCUGGGCUGACACUGACGCUGAGGCGCGAAAGCCAGGGGAGCGAACGGG
rnacentral:rRNA from 1 species